rfam:TPA: Bos taurus chromosome 27, whole genome shotgun sequence.
UCCCUGGUGGCUCAGAGGUUAAAGCGUCUGCCUACAAGGCGGGAGACCCAGGUUCAAUCCCUGGGUCGGGAA